GGCUCAUCGGUAUGUGUUAUUUAACAUCGCUGCGGUUGUCCCAUAUCGAGAGGAACAUCGUGAAUUUAUUAAGCGGUCACAUCGUCGUCUCAGAGAUUAUGAUGUGGAUCGUCGUCACAAUGAUGAGUUUCCCAAAUGGUUCAAUUCUCAUGUUGCAGAGCUGUUAGCUACUGAAAAUGUAGCGUUGUCAGAUGAGAUCAAAAUUUUGGCUUUGGGACCCAGCCAAAAGGCCAC